GGAUCAUUACCAAGGCUUUUUUCAUAAUGUGGAUCUCAUUUGCUGUGGACAUGGCCAUAAAAAAUUUCCACUAAAGACAAACAGUU
rnacentral:snoRNA from 1 species